CUGAUUACACCUUAUUUGCAUAUUUUAUCUGAUUUUAGAAAAAGAAAGAAAGGAAAAGGGAAAGGGAAAGGGAAAGGAAAAGGAAAAGGAAAAGGAAAAGGAAAAGGAAAAGGAAAAGGAAAAGGAAAAGGAAAAGGAAAAGAGUUUACUUUGAAGAACACAUACAUGUGCUUUUUAAAAAUAUUAAUACCAUUGGUUUUCUGUGAUAUAUGAGUAUUGUGAAAAGCUCCUGCUUUACAAUGCAUUCAUCUCUAGCAAGCUGCUGUAAUAAAAUUUGAGUGGUCACAGACAACAUCCAGCUGACAUAAAUACACACUUCCUGCAUUUUCAAUUCCUCAGAUGUUGAAAGAUUGGUUGAAAAGUAAAAAGCAGAAGGAGAAUCUGACUUAAAAAUUAUGUUUGUCCACACAGAGAUGUCAGGUGAAGCAAUAACAAUAGAUGGAAGAUGAAGGAGAAAAUCUGCAUGUUUGUGCUAUUUUUAUAGGACUAUUGAGAUCAGAAGGAGAACAGCAUUUAUUCCAGAAGACCCUGUAAUAUUUCUCACAGGUGCAGACAUUACUGAAUAUCCUGAAGGGCAGAAGGAGAAGGAGCCAGUCUGCUGGCUGUUGCACAUUAAGAUACCAAAUGGACUAAUUCUCCUACUGAAUAAAAGCAGGAAGAAAGCAAGACAUCCAGCUACAGGAAGAAAAAAAUCACAUGAGAUUUGGCUAAUAUGAAGGACUGCAAAUGAUAAGAAUUAUAAGGAAAAUGAACAUGAGAGAGGUGCAUGGGAUAGGAGAAAGAGGUAAACUUGGGAGAGCUGAAGAGGGAGUUCCCAAUUAGAAAGUAGAAGCUGAAUUAGCUGAGGCUCCUGGCUAACUUGUGAAUGAAAGACACAGAAAAUUCUUUCAGACUGCAGUGAUUUCAUUCCCAUCUACAGGACUGUUAGUAAAGAUUCCCAGAAACACACACUACUUACAUGGCUUUUGCAGAGUACCAGCAUAAGAAUCUGAGACAGCAUUGCAAGUUUUUGUUUUAUUCUCAGACUUAGUAUGAAGUAAUUUUCCUGUAACAUGAGGAAUCAUCUUUCUUAAAUAUUGCACUCGGGCUGCUAUAAAUAAUUUCCUUUACA
rnacentral:lncRNA from 1 species